GACGAACGCUGGCGGCGUGCUUAAUACAUGCAAGUCGAACGGAAAGGCCCUGCUUUUGUGGGGUGCUCGUGUGGCGCACGGGUGAGUAACACGUGAGUAACCUGCACUUGUCUUUGGGAUAACUUCAGGAAACUGGGGCUCAUACCGGAUAGGAGCUCCUGCUGCAUGGUGGGGGUUGGAAAGUUCCGGCGGUUGGGGCUGGACUCGCGGCUUAUGCGCUUGUUGGUGAGGUAGUUGCUUACAAAGGCUAUGACGGGUAGGCGGCCUGAGAGGGUGACCGGCCACAAGGCGCCUGAGAGAGGGACCAGAAGCGUACGUGAGGCAGCGGUCGGGAAUAUUACACAGUAAGCGGAAGCCUGAUGCAGCAGCGCCGCGUGCGGGAUGACGUCCUUCGGGGUGUAAACAGCUGUCGCAGGAGACGAGGCGGGAUUGACGGUAAUGGGUAAAGAAGCACCGGCUAACUACGUG
rnacentral:rRNA from 1 species